GCGAGGAUGGUCUAGUUGGUUAUGACGGCCGCUUAACACUGCAUUGUGAAACGCGGCAGGUGCUGGGUUCGAUCCCCAGUCUUCGUA